rnacentral:misc_RNA from 1 species
CGCACAUCGCGCCCCUUGGCAUUCCGAGGGGCAUGUCUGUUCGAGCGUCAUUGCACCCCUCAAGCCCAGCUUGGUAUUGGGUCUCGCCCCCGCGGCGGUCCCGAAAAGCGUCGGCUGCUCGGCGUGGCUUUCGAGCGUAGUAAAACUUCUCCCGCUCCGAGAUCCACGCCGCGGUGGGCCUCCAACCUCUGAUUUUCAAUGAUUGACCUCGGAUCAGGCAGGGAUACCCGCUGAACUUAA